CAAAAACAUCGCCUCCUGCAAAUCUUCAAUGUAUAGGAGGUCCUACCUGCCCAGUGACUUCUUGUUAAAUGGCCGCGGUAUUUUGACCGUGCUAAGGUAGCGCAAUCACUUGUCUUUUAAAUGAAGACCCGUAUGAAUGGUAAAACGAGGGCUUAACUGUCUCCCUUCUUUGGUCAAUGAAAUUGAUCUGCCCGUGCAGAAGCGGACAUAUUAAUACAAGACGAGAAGACCCUUUGGAGCUUAAGACAAAAAGCCAACUGUAUUAAAAACCCAUAUAAAAUGAAGUUAACAAAACAAUUUGGCCCACGUCUUCGGUUGGGGCGACCACGGAGUAAAACAAAACCUCCAUACAGAAUGGGAUUCCCUCAAACCAAGAGAUACAUCUCUAAGUCGCAGAACAUCUGACUAUAAGAUCCGGCUUAUAAGCCGAUCAACGGACCAAGUUACCCUAGGGAUAACAGCGCAAUCCCCUUCAAGAGUCCCUAUCGACAAGGGGGUUUACGACCUCGAUGUUGGAUCAGGACAUCCUAAUGGUGCAGCCGCUAUUAAGGGUUCGUUUGUUCAACGAUUAAAGUCCUACGUGAUCUGAG
rnacentral:rRNA from 1 species